rnacentral:rRNA from 2 species
CAGCCGCCGCGGUAACACCAGCCCCUCGAGUGGUGGGGAUGAUUAUUGGGCCUAAAGCGUCCGUAGCCUGCCGUAAAAGUUUCCCGUUAAAUCCAGCGUCUCAAGCGUUGGACCGCGGGAAAUACUGCACGGCUAGAGAGUGGGAGAGGUCAGCGGUAUUCUGGGGGUAGGGGCGAAAUCCUUUGAUCCCCGGAGGACCACCAGUGGCGAAGGCUGCUUACUAGAACACGCCUGACGGUCAGGGACGAAAGCUGGGGUAGCGAACCGGAUUAGAUACCCGGGUAGUCCCAGCCGUAAACGAUGCAUGCUAGGUGUUGGGUUGGCCAUGAGCCGCCUCAGUGCCGCAGGGAAGCCGAUAAGCAUGCCGCCUGGGGAGUACGGCCGCAAGGCUGAAACUUAAAGGAAUUGGCGGGGGAGCAC